rnacentral:rRNA from 1 species
ACGGGUGAGUAACGCGUGGGAACGUGCCCUUCGGUUCGGAGUAACUCAGGGAAACUUGAGCUAAUACCGGAUACGCCCUUAUGGGGAAAGGUUUACUGCCGAAGGAUCGGCCCGCGUCUGAUUAGCUAGUUGGUGAGGUUAUGGCUCACCAAGGCGACGAUCAGUAGCUGGUCUGAGAGGAUGAUCAGCCACACUGGGACUGAGACACGGCCCAGACUCCUACGGGAGGCAGCAGUGGGGAAUAUUGGACAAUGGGGGCAACCCUGAUCCAGCCAUGCCGCGUGAGUGAUGACGGCCUUAGGGUUGUAAAGCUCUUUUCUCCGGGACGAUAAUGACGGUACCGGAGGAAUAAGCCCCGGCUAACUUCGUGCCAGCAGCCGCGGUAAUACGAAGGGGGCUAGCGUUGCUCGGAAUCACUGGGCGUAAAGGGCGCGUAGGCGGCUGAUUUAGUCGAGGGUGAAAGCCCGUGGCUCAACCACGGAAUGGCCUUCGAUACUGGUUGGCUUGAGACCGGAAGAGGACAGCGGAACUGCGAGUGUAGAGGUGAAAUUCGUAGA